rfam:Danio rerio chromosome 8, GRCz11 reference primary assembly.
CCUUCGAUGUCGGCUCUUCCCAUCAUUGUGAAGCAGAAUUCACCAAGUACUGGAUUGUUCACCCACUAUCAGGGAACAUGAGCUGGGUUUAGACUGUUGUGAGACAGGUA